AUGAGCUCAAAUUUAAAAUCUGGCGUCUUUCAGGCGUCCGAGUUGUAAUCUAUAGAGGCGUUUUCCGCGCCGGACCGCGUCCAGUCUCUUGGAAUAGAGUAUCAAAGAGGGUGACAAUCCCGUACUUGACGCGACAACCGGUGCUCUGUGAUACGUUCUCAAUGAGUCGAGUUGUUUGGGAAUGCAGCUCUAAAUGGGUGGUAAAUUCCAUCUAAGGCUAAAUAUUGGCGAGAGACCGAUAGCGAACAAGUACCGUGAGGGAAAGAUGAAAAGCACUUUGGAAAGAGAGUUAAACAGCACGUGAAAUUGUUAAAAGGGAAACGAUUGAAGUCAGUCGUGUGAAAGGUAUUCAGCCGUCUCUGGCGGUGUAUUUGCCUUUCACGGGUCAACAUCAGUUUGAUCCGGUAGAAAAAGGCGGGAGGAAGGUGGCACCCUCGGGUGUGUUAUAGCCUCCUGUCAUAUGUGCCGGACCAGACUGAGGAACGCAGCUUGCCGCAAGGCCGGGGUUCGCCCACGUACAAGCUUAGGAUGUUGACAUAAUGGCUUUAAACGACCCGUCUU
rnacentral:rRNA from 1 species